rnacentral:piRNA from 1 species
UGAAUUUUCAGAGUAGUAGUGUUGAUGAGG